UAAAGGGCCGUCCGAGACCAGGACGUUGAUAGGCAGGGUGUGGAAGCGCUGUGAGGCGUGCAGCUAACCUGUACUAAUUACCCGUGCGGCUUAACCA
rnacentral:rRNA from 1 species